GAGAAAAAAGGAGUAAAUUUUAAAAAUUCAGAUAUAAUCAAUAUGUAUGAAGUCACUAGCGAAGAUCGAGUCAAAUCCACUAGAUGUAUGGAGACAUACAGAUUCAUUGAUUUAAAUGGAACCAAGAAUGUAUUUAAAAUAAUGGUAAAAGCAUGGCUUUGUUUAUUUAGUAUUUCUAAUAACAGAAAAAUGGUUACUUUGCUAUAGUUACGGUCAACAGUAGAUGCAAAAUGUUGCAAUGUAUUUUCUUUAAAUGCAACAAGCAGUAUAGAGGAUGCAGGCUUUUUUAUUACUGGGUAUGUCAUUGCAUUGUUCUUCAUUUACUUCUUCCCAUCUAAUAGAAGAAAGUCCAAUACAGUCAUCUGAAGGCGUAUGUCCCAUCUGGAUGGCAACUAGUACCCUUGCUACAACAUAGUUUCAUUGGCCAUAGCCAUUCUGAGAUUGUGCACUUUUGCCUCUGCACUUUGUGGUGAUGAAAAGCAAGUGCAGAAAUGGAUGCAGACUUGCUACUGCCUAAGUUCAUGGAAAAGAUGUCCAUCAUCUUUGGGGAGCAGGCUGUUCUCACAGUGCUGGCACUCUUACUUGUUUCCAACAGCUGAACAUCAUCAAAAUAACACCGGAGGUAGCAGAUGAAAGCUAAACCACGCUUCAAGGUCUCCCUCUUGUGGUCACUGCUGUUAAAGAAACGUACAUGAGCGUUGUUGCAUCGGACUUCACAGGAAGAAAGCCAUUUCUGAACUGAUAGAGAAAUAAUACUUUGUUUUGCCUAAUUUAAAAUUUAUAUUGUAGAUUGGACUGAAAAACCUGAACUCAUUUAACAUUAAAUAAAUUAUUUCAUUAAAUAGCAAACCUAAUCUAUAAUAAUCACUGCUCUGGACACUGAAUGUUUGCACUGAGGGAAAUUCAUUGAUUUUCAUGGGCAAGCUAUCCAAGGAUUUUUGUAACUGUUUGCUAGACUACACAUGCUGAAGUUAAUACUUUCCAAGUCAUAGACUGCAUCUCCUAUUACAGAGAAGGAGAUUUUUGAGCAUUCAUGUGAUAUAAAUCAUGCACAACAUACAAACUAAAAUGCAUACUUUUUUUUUCUUUUUUUUUUUAGGAUUAAAUUCUGUUUUCAGAAAGACAGCAGUUGAAUCUCAUCACAAGAACAGAUGGUUGGAAUAGAUUCUUCUAGAUCACAGUUUGGUACACCUACAGGCCUUUCUACUUGAUUUUUUAUUUGUUGGAUAUUCUGGAAGUAACAGCUUUUAUAAGAUUUAUAAUGAGAUACCCAAAUAAGGGACUUUUGUGUCCAUGGAAAUUUGCAUAUUUCUGCAUCUGGGAGAGAAGGGGUAUUCAAAGUGAAACCAGGUUUUUUCUAACUACCUGAAAAUUGAACUGUCCCUCAGAUUACUAUUUCAGAAAAGUAUGUAUGUCAUUCAUUCAUUUCUGGUUUCACAGCAGGUGCUGACUGAAAAGGACUAAUGGCCGAGAUAAAAAUGGCAAGAACAUCAAUUUCUCUCCGCCACUGGUCAGGGCUGUAGUGCUUACAGCUCUUGUACAUCAUCUGUCUGGGCUGGGAGGCUCAGAGCUUCCAAAAAUACCUCACCAGUUGGUUCACAGCAUAGACAAAAUACCCAUGUUCCUUCUACUAACUAAACUAAAUCAGUUUAAGUAAAUAAUUUGUUGAAAAAAGACAUGCAUUUGAAGGUAACAGUGUAAAACUCGUGUUUUGUUGUGUAGGUACCUGGCAGACACGUUUGUUGUGAAGGAAACACAUUCAUUAACAAAUGUCAGUGGUGUUGUUCCAGUGAUGU